GGCAACAGCCUAGGUUAUAUAUAUAGUGUAGUAUAAACGAAGGAGUCAAUGGUGUAUUGUUUUUAAAAUCAAUAUUCCAAUAGCUACAUCAUAUACAGUAUCUCACAAAAGUGAGUACACCCCUCACAUUUUUGUAAAUAUUUGAUUAUAUCUUUUCAUGUGACAACACUGAAGAAAUGACACUUUGCUACAAUGUAAAGUGUUUGUUAGCAGCAGCUCAGUGACGAUAUCAGGAGCAGGACGCCAUUUUGUUAACUGCGGCAGAUAAAGGAGUGUGACUCACACAGUGUCUCAAUAUGAAGCGUGUGAGGGUGUGCAGGUGGGAGCUGUCUAACUGGAACAUCUCCCCCACUACAAUAACACAUCAAACACAAGCGUGCAAUAAUACCCACAUCACAUCACCCAAUAACAAUCAGACCAUUUAAAUAUGACCUGAUCAUCAUCAUCAUCAUCAUGAUCACGAUAAGAGUGUGUGUGUCUAUAAGAAGACCUUCAGUGGGCUGCUUCGUGUUUUCCAUGUCGCUUGUAUACAUAUUUUCCACACUGUAAUAAAUUACGAUGUAUGUUUACGGUAA